GUGCCAGCAGCCGCGGUAAUACGUAGGGGGCAAGCGUUGUCCGGAUUUAUUGGGCGUAAAGAGCGUGUAGGCGGCCAAAUAGGUCGGUUGUGAAAACUGGAGGCUUAACCUCCAGACGUCGACCGAAACCAUUCGGCUAGAGUCCGGAAGAGGAGAGUGGAAUUCCUGGUGUAGCGGUGAAAUGCGCAGAUAUCAGGAAGAACACCCGUGGCGAAGGCGGCUCUCUGGGACGGUACUGACGCUGAGACGCGAAAGCGUGGGGAGCGAACAGGAUUAGAUACCCCUGUAGUCC
rnacentral:rRNA from 1 species